rnacentral:rRNA from 1 species
CCUACGGGAGGCAGCAGUAGGGAAUCUUCCACAAUGGGCGAAAGCCUGAUGGAGCAACGCCGCGUGGGUGAAGAAGGUCUUCGGAUCGUAAAACUCUGUUGUUAGAGAAGAAAGUGCGUGAGAGUAACUGUUCACGUUUCGACGGUAUCUAACCAGAAAGCCACGGCUAACUACGUGCCAGCAGCCGCGGUAAUACGUAGGUGGCAAGCGUUAUCCGGAUUUAUUGGGCGUAAAGGGAACGCAGGCGGUCUUUUAAGUCUGAUGUGAAAGCCUUCGGCUUAACCGGAGUAGUGCAUUGGAAACUGGGAGACUUGAGUGCAGAAGAGGAGAGUGGAACUCCAUGUGUAGCGGUGAAAUGCGUAGAGAUAUGGAAGAACACCAGUGGCGAAAGCGGCUCUCUGGUCUGUAACUGACGCUGAGGUUCGAAAGCGUGGGUAGCAAACAGGAUUAGAUACCCGAGUAGUC